UACGGCCACGCAACGUUAAAACAUCAGUUCACGUACGAUCACCAAAGUUAAGCAACGCCGGAACAGGGUCAGUACCUAGAUGAGUGACUGCUUGGGAAUACCAGGUGCUGUAAG